AGAAGUUUGCAGCCRGACUGUUUAUUAAUGAACUUAUUGGCUUGGUGAGUACAGUCAUGGUUGAAGGUGGCAGAUUUUGGGAUCUUUGGAGUUAACUGGUGGGUUUUUUUCUGUUCAGUUGAGGAAAAAGUUUGUCUGCUCGACGUAGGACACAAGUGCCUCCUCCUCCUCCUCCUGAUGACGGGGCUUCAUGCAACAAGGGUGAGGUUGUCUUCCUCCCCUCACAUGCGUUCAAUUAGUAGCGUGGAAAGAGAGCCCAGUCUACGGACACCUGCUGUUUUGCUUGCUUGUUUUAUUCAGUUUUUUUUCUAUUAUUAAUUCACUCACCUGGUCCUUGCAUCUGACUUCUUGAUGCUCAGCCGGGUCCACAAGUUUCCUUGUUCAGCAGCAUUUUCGCCUCCGAAUCCAAUGGAAGCUGAUUUCGAGACCAGGCCCUUCUAGUUAUUUUUUUUCUUGUUUGUUUACUUGUUCAUUAGGCCUGUUUAAUUUCAUUGGUAUUAUUUUUUUCCUUUUUCAUUAUUUUUGUUUUAUUAUUUUGUUCUCUUUUGUUGCAGGCUGAGAGCUGACUGGGGCGGUCUUAUGUUCGGUGGUGGUUCCCUGGGUGUGACGGGCCCUGUUCACUCCUUGUAUUGUGGAGCACUGUUUGGGUGAUUUGGUUUGUGUGUCUAUUUGUCUGUUUUUUUUUUUGACCGUCACUAGGACGCCUCAGCCUGAAUGAUGUAAAUUUUUAAAACUUGCCUCAGACGUGUGUUUUAGCAGUUGUUGUAAUUAAUUCAUAUUUUUAAUUUUGGAACACAGUCUCUGUAA